GGAGAGGUGGCCGAGUGGUUUAAGGCGCACGCUUGGAAAGCGUGUGUAGGCUUAUACCCUACCGAGGGUUCGAAUCCCUCCCUCUCCG
rnacentral:tRNA from 1 species